AGUAGCGCGUGAGGAACCUGCCUCAAAGAGGGGGACAACAGUUGGAAACGACUGCUAAUACCGCAUAAGCCCACGGCUCGGCAUCGAGCAGAGGGAAAAGGAGCAAUCCGCUUUGAGAUGGCCUCGCGUCCGAUUAGCUAGUUGGUGAGGUAACGGCCCACCAAGGCGACGAUCGGUAGCCGGACUGAGAGGUUGAACGGCCACAUUGGGACUGAGACACGGCCCAG
rnacentral:rRNA from 1 species